rnacentral:ncRNA from 1 species
UGUCUUGGUCCUGGACAUAAAAUUAUUUAUCUAAAACAUUACACAUGCUAGUCUCCGCACCCCAGUGCCAAAACUCAAAACUAGACACAAGAUACGAGACAGGUAUCAGGUACACUCAUCGAGUAGCCAAUAACACCUAGCAAUGCCACACCCCCACGGAACUCAGCAGUGAUAAACAUUAAGCCAUGAGCUUAAGCUCGACUUAGACAAAAUGAUUUAGGGCCGGUAAACCUCGUGCCAGCCACCGCGGUUAUACGAGGGGCCCAAGAUAAUUUUUACCCGGCGUAAAGCGUGAUUAAAGAGAUAAUACUAAAGAUUAUAAGAACUAUAAUACAGUUGUAAAAUACCUAUAACUAUAGGAACCCCAGUUUUAAUCUGAAAGAACAACCUUGAUUCACGAAAGCUAGAGCACAAACUAGGAUUAGAUACCCUACUAUGUCUAGCCGUUAAUUAAAGCAAGCACUUACUAACUUGCCCGCCAGAAAAUUACAAGCGAAAGCACAAAAUUCAAAGGACUUGACGGUGUUCCAUAUAAACCUAGAGGAGCCUGUCCUAUAAUCGAUAAUCCACGUUAAACCUCACCUAUCCUUGCUGAAUCAGCCUAUAUACCGCCGUCGCCAGCCCAUCUAAUGAUAGAACCUAAAUGGACAAAACUGUAUUACCACAAAAACGUCAGGUCAAGGUGUAGCUAAUGAAUAGGUUGAGAUGGGCUACAUUUUUUAAUAUAAAAAAUUACUGCAAGCAAUAUGAAACAUAAGCCCUAAAGGUGGAUUUAGCAGUAAAUUUGUGCAAGAACUGCCACAUUGAAAAUUGCUCUGGAAC